UGUGUAGUAAAAAAGGCGAGAGCAUUUCUUUUCCCGCAUUCCAGGCAAGAAUCCAAAGAUUUACUCCGGUUGGACAACUUAAGUGGCAGCUAACCCUUGAAUCAAUCCCCAUUCAAGGCCAGGUAUUUUCCAAAGCUGCAAUCACUAUGACCUAUUGGGAUUCAAAGCUGCUUCCUAAGCAUGCCCAUUCCUUGGUUACAUCAUCAAAGGACCAGACAGUUGAGGCCUACCAUUGGCACCACGAGGCCUAUGGGUACUUCUUGCCCAUCCAGACAAGGUGGCAGGACAAUGACCAGUAUGGCCACGUCAACAACGCCGUGUACUAUAGCUACUUCGACACGAUUAUCAACCUCUACCUCAUCAGGUCGCUCAAGUUCUGCAGCUCCAGCCCCUCUCUUUGACUCUCUGACAUGUCCUUGGUUGGGAGUUCAUGUAGGGAAUUCCGGGAAGAGGUUCCCCCAGUUUUCCUCUGCUAGUGCACCUCUUUUGUUGAGCCAUGUGAAUAUCAGACCCUUCCAGAGGAGAACAGCAAACUGACACGUGAGUGAAAAACGCACCGCCCUGUUGCUCCUGCAGUCUCAGGUGUUCAUAUGUCUUGGUCCUUUGCACUAAAUUGUCAGCAAAUGUGUAGGCUUUGAAUCUCAAAUAAGCACCUACACAAUAGACCACAUAAUGUUCAGCCCCUGUGCAACUUGAGCAGACAUUAACAUCAACCCUUGAGGCCUUUUUGUGGGAAAAGCAGCUGCUUCCGCCACAGAGGGCAC
rnacentral:sRNA from 1 species